rnacentral:lncRNA from 1 species
AUAUAUAUAAGUACAACCAUGAUAUCAUAGCACAAUAUAAUUAAGAGGACUGGCCCAUAAAGGUUAUUUAAACACUAUAUAAUAUUGAUAAUUUAUAAUACUCUCACACACACUCACACAACACAACUUAUUAUUAUUUUUAAAAGUACAAACACACACACACAUAUAUUAUAAUAUUAUCACACAAACCAUUGGUCCAUCAUGGAAGGUUUUCAGCUUUAGGAGUAGUAGUAGUAGUAGCUGCGGUAGUUUCAUGAUGAAGACAAAACGUAGAGUACGCAGGACAAAAGAUAAGGAUACGAAAUACCACACAUUUCAAAUACAAAAUGUAACAAUCUGUUUCUUGCCCAAACUUUUUAGAUAUGUCGUCAACACCAACAUCUUUCUCUUUUCCUGCACCUUCAACACUAUAAUCAUUCAGAGUUGCAACAAUAAGGAGAAUCAAAAUUAGUGAAGCAGUGAUGGUUUUGGCCAUUGUGUAAGUAAGAGUAUUUGCAUGGAAUAAAUUGGCUACAAAUAAUUCCAAUUUAUAGAACUUGUGAUUUCCUUGAAUGAUAAGUGAACGUAUU